rnacentral:rRNA from 1 species
GUGGGGAAUCUUGCACAAUGGGGGAAACCCUGAUGCAGCGACGCCGCGUGAACGAUGAAGCCCUUCGGGGUGUAAAGUUCUUUCGACAGGAACGAUAAUGACGGUACCUGGAGAAGAAGCUGCGGCUAACUACGUGCCAGCAGCCGCGGUAAUACGUAGGCAGCGAGCGUUGUUCGGAGUUACUGGGCGUAAAGAGUGCGUAGGCGGCGAGCCAAGUUUGGUGUGAAAUCUCCCGGCUUAACCGGGAGGGUGCGCUGAAAACUGGUUGGCUGGCGUAUGGGAGAGGAAAGCGGAAUUCCUGGUGUAGCGGUGAAAUGCGUAGAUGUCAGGAGGAACACCUGCGGUGUAGACAGCUUUCUGGACCAAAACUGACGCUGAGGCACGAAAGC